UACGUAUGGUGCAAGCGUUAUCCGGAUUUACUGGGUGUAAAGGGAGCGCAGGCGGUGCGGCAAGUCUGAUGUGAAAGCCCGGGGCUCAACACCGGUACUGCAUUGGAAACUGUCGUACUAGAGUGUCGGAGGGGUAAGUGGAAUUCCUAGUGUAGCGGUGAAAUGCGUAGAUAUUAGGAGGAACACCAGUGGCGAAGGCGGCUUACUGGACGAUAACUGACGCUGAGGCUCGAAAGCGUGGGGAGCAAACAGG
rnacentral:rRNA from 1 species